rnacentral:rRNA from 1 species
CAGUUCGGAUUGGAGUCUGCAACCCGACUCCAUGAAGCUGGAUUCGCUAGUAAUCGCGCAUCAGCCACGGCGCGGGUGAAUACGUUCCCGGGCCUUGUACACACCGCCCGUCAAGCCAUGGAAGCCGGGAGUGCCUGAAGUACGCGACCGCAAGGAGCGUCCUAAGGUAAAACCGGUGACUGGGGCUAAGUCGUAACAAGGUACC